rnacentral:rRNA from 1 species
GGCAGCACGGGGGCAACCCUGGUGGCGAGUGGCGAACGGGUGAGUAAUGCAUCGGAACGUGCCCAGUAGUGGGGGAUAACCCGGCGAAAGCCGGGCUAAUACCGCAUACGACCUAAGGGUGAAAGCGGGGGACCGUAAGGCCUCGCGCUAUUGGAGCGGCCGAUGUCUGAUUAGCUAGUUGGCGGGGUAAAAGCCCACCAAGGCGACGAUCAGUAGCUGGUCUGAGAGGACGACCAGCCACACUGGGACUGAGACACGGCCCAGACUCCUACGGGAGGCAGCAGUGGGGAAUUUUGGACAAUGGGCGCAAGCCUGAUCCAGCCAUGCCGCGUGCGGGAAGAAGGCCUUCGGGUUGUAAACCGCUUUUGGCAGGAACGAAACGGCGCGAGCCAAUACCUCGCGCUAAUGACGGUACCUGCAGAAUAAGCACCGGCUAACUACGUGCCAGCAGCCGCGGUAAUACGUAGGGUGCAAGCGUUAAUCGGAAUUACUGGGCGUAAAGCGUACGCAGGCGGCUUUGCAAGACAGGUGUGAAAUCCCCGGGCCUAACCUGGGAACUGCAUUUGUGACUGCAUGGCUAGAGUCUGUCAGAGGGGGGUGGAAUUCCACGUGUAGCAGUGAAAUGCGUAGAGAUGUGGAAGA